rnacentral:lncRNA from 13 species
AUGGUCAACCACUGGAACAGGCUUCCUGGAGAGGUGACUGAUGCCCCAAGACUGUCAGUGUUGAAGAGGCAUUUGGAAAAUACCCUUAAGCAGAAUAUAGUAUCAGACGAAAAACUGAGAGUUGGCCUCAAAGCAGCUAUUGUUAAAGUUUACUUCAAGGAAACAAACUUUCUCUAUGAACAACAUCCUGUUAGCAACAUCCUGCUUCAGAACGAUGUUGUAGGCUUCAUUGUAUUUAACUGCAGCUCUUUCAAGUUCAAUUGACAAAACUGACAUCAAAAUGACAAAGAGAGUACUUUAUCUAUUUUGAGAUGAUGUCUCUGAUUUAUGUCAGUUUUCAAGGAAAAAGUGCCAUGUGGGAGAUUAUUGUAUUUUUUCUGAAGUUGUUGAAGUGAGAGGACUAGAUACUCUACAGCAUGGAGUUUUCAUUUCAUGGUAGCUGUCCCAAAGUGUUUAUUUGGCAUGCUAGGAAAAAUAAGGCAAGUAUCUAGUCUAGUACUUGUAAGAAGGAUGGUGAAGUCCCUUUAACUCCUAUCUCUGCUACGUUUUUGCAUUGUCUUUUUGGCUAAUUAUUUCCCUUUGCUUCCCAUGGUCUUCUCUACCCACUCAUGCACUUGGUGUUAUUUAGGGUGUGCUCACAACUUGCAGUGUUAUUAAAAGAUAGGAUGUAUAACUGGAGAGCAGCAGGUUAAUUUUUUUCACUGCAAGAGAUACAAAAUCACUUAAUAACUGAUGAUUUAUUUUUCCACCUAAAAGUUUUGAGUUCCAUGUAGGAAAAAAAAUUGUUAUUGUGUUC